AACUAAUACAGCUGCCAAAUCACAUAUGGAGCCAAAUUGCCAGCAAACGGAUUCUUUCUUCAUUGAUAUUCUCAUUUUCUUUUAUUUUAACGACUGAGUUUUUGGAUGUUAAGGAGGGUAUUUCCGAAGAGGCCAGUGUGGCUCACAGAUGGAUCGUUUUCCAGCCAUUGAAAGCUACCUUGGGGGAAGGAAACUACUUAGCCUCCUGUGUGCAAAAGAUCUGUGGUAACAGCAAGGGCCAACAGAGCACAUGUCAGAUGUGCUGACUGGUCCCAAGACAGCAGGCAACAUGAAACAAAAAAGAGAAGUUCAAGACCUCACUGACGACAACAAGCUGCAGCAACAGCUUCCCAGCUGAGUGACACCA